GGCAGCAGGGAACAGCUUUUGGAUGAGUCAUGCCUCCUUUGGGUGGGGCGCACUCUUGAAUGGGCAACAGGAAGGUGGGAAGAUGCCUUCAUUCAGGUGAGUCAGCUGCAGAAGUGCUGUUGUGAUUCAGGCCCACUGUGGGACCUCAUUACGGUCGUAUCAUUUCCGAAAUACGACCUGAUGAGACUUUUAUACAUAGGGUUUGGGGGAAAUGACCUAAUAAGACAUUUAUAAAUACGAAAAAUGAUUCAAACAUGCCUUGUUUGAAUGGAAACCUGCAUUAAGAGUCUUCACAUCAUUACAGUCCGGAGGGAUCCCGGGUGGUGCAAUGGAGCACAAUGACGGAGGAAAGGCCGGCCACGUGCGCACGUUGAGUCUCUUGCUCAGGAGGCUCCUGGGACUCGUCAAUCUGGCCAGGGCAGCCAAGGUGCGUAUCCUGCACAGCUAAGGGAAUGAUUCAGCGGUUGUUUCCGUGGUCCCACCCCCAUCUCAAGCACUAAAGGAACAAAUCCAGCCAGCCUCAUAAUACCAACAGCUCCUUUAGCAAGGAAAAGGCACAAAGGUAAGAACAGAGUGGAGAGACUCCAUUACUAAGAAAUCAAUGAGAUAUUAUAUGCCAGGUUAUUGUUUAGCAUUUCCCUAUAAUGCCCAAAGUGGUUCAAAAGCCUUCCUGAAGCGAAGUCAAGGCGACAGUGUCUAUCCCCCCAUCUUCCCCCUGCUCUGUCUUGCAUUGGCUGAAACAAACAUUUAUCCCCUUUCAUAAACUUUUUUGGGGCAUGGGGCGGGAAGUGCAUGCAUCUCUACAUUUCCUCACGUUUUGGUCAUUUGAGGAAAAAGUGUGGCUAACCCAAACUCAACACUCACCCUCCUUUUCUGCCUUUGGUGAGGGAGGUUUCAAAAUCACUGCUCCUGAGAUGCCAAAGCAGUGGUUUCUUCUCAGGUGCAUUGAGUGUUGACCAAAUAGGAGGCUCUUUUGGGUGGUCCCAGGCUGUGCCCAGGCCUCCUGGAGCCAGUGUGGUGUAGUGGUUAAGAGCGGUGGACUUGUAAUCUGGGGAACCGGGUUCACGUCUCCGCUCCUCCACAUGCAGCUGCUGGGGGACCUUGGGCCAGUCACACUUCUCUGAAGUCUCUCAGCCCCACUCACCUCACAGAGUGUUUGUUGUGGGGGAGGAAGGGAAAGGAGAAUGUUAGCCGCUUUGAGACUCCUGAAGGGGAGUGAAAGGCGGGAUAUCAAAUCCAAACUCUUCUUCUUCUUCUUCUCCUGGGAAGGAGGAACAGAACAGCGGCUGACCUCAGGUUAGAAAGUGGGGGGGGGGGCAGCUUCCCAGGACAAAAAGAAAUCUGUUCCUGGAAAGUGAAAUGAUGUCUCUGCUGGUGGUAUGUUGCUCAGCACCAUGGCCAGAUCCAGGCACGGCAGCUUGCAUCCAACCACAUUUAUUAUGUAUAAGCAACUCUGCCAUUUUUUUCCAAUCUCAGAAAUCAAUAGUUGUUUUCUAUCUUCUACAGCAAGCGCUGAACAAGAGAAAUCCAUUUCUAGCAAAUGCCUGAAAGAGGAGCCAUAAAUCAGGGGCUUUGCUCUAAGCCCUGGGGAGGCCAAGAGGAGGCCUUAAAAUGUCACUUGGUUGAUUUUAUUUGAAGACAGUAUUUCUUUUGCUCUGGAGGACACUCUUUCAUUCAUUUCUCUGCAAAAUUUUACACUGCCUCAAAAGUGACAGGUGCUUAUUUUAAUUUUUUUCAUCUUCUUUCUAGCUGUGGCCUGAAUGACUGAUGCGCCAUCAUUUUUUUGAAUUCCACCCUCUUGGUUUCCAUUUGGUCAUGGUCAACUGGUACCAGAAUCCACAUUUUUCUGGUUGCAUUCUUUUUCAAAAUUGUCCUGGAGAGCUGUGCAAGAGGAGCAAACUUUGGUUUCAGGAAGCAAUAACAAUCCCUUGUGUCUCAGCCAAAGGCCAGAAUAAUUCAUUUCCUUUACCCAUGAAAAGUUUAAGAGGCAUUCCCAAAUUAUUUUAUUAUUAAUAAAUGUCUGCUGUGUUUUUUUCUUUAAUGUCAACUUUACUUCCAGUAAUUCCCAC
rnacentral:lncRNA from 1 species